CUGAUUUUCAUGACAAGUCGCUAAUCCACGUGUAUUGAAGCUUUAGGAGAAGGACCACAGGAAGUAUUGGUAGUCAAAUCCGCCCACCCCUGAAGUGGAUGUGUACCGCUUCCUCAAGUGUUCAUACCUUGGCCACCAGGGGGCAGUAUCACAUAAACAGGGAUACCGAGGAGACGUCACAACUCAAAUCCUCAAUCAAGUUCUUUGCAGAGGUACACAAUGUAUUCCUGUGAGUAUUCUUUUAUUGUCUGCCAAGUUGCACUGUCCCGCCGUUUGUUUUUUAUUAUGAUUUAGCAUUAAGCUAAACUGUCUUUCAUACGGCAAUCAUUCUGCUUCAUUAAAACCGGGUUCUUUCUUUACAUUCUCCUUAUUUGUACGUUUUUACACAACACAGUGCCGCUUCUUUUGUUAAAAUUGUCAAAUCAAAAAAAUGAUGGGUGGUCACGUGGUUAUUGGAGAGGGGAGGAUGCUAAGAUUUCAUCAUUUGUGAUUUGUGACCAUCUGGACCCCCCUAACGCCCCCACCAAUCCAUCCAUCCAUCCAUGGAGGCAGCUGCUGCCCUACCCCAAUGCCUCGUGGGAUUUAGCCAUGCUGCACAAUCGCACAGUCACCUAAUACUACCACUACACACACACAUAUGCACACACACGUAGAGUCCAAUCAUAAUGAACUAAUUACAUUUGAAGGGGCUACGAAAGGCGGCUUUUGGAUGUGAAAACCUCACAAAACGAGCUCCAGCUAAUUCAAGUCGACAAAAGAGUAGGGGGUGGUGGUAGUGGGCUUGCGUUGUCGUCGGUGACGACUCUGGGAGAUUCAGAGAAUGGAUUUCCCUUUCUGUGUUGCCAUGGCGACAGCCCUGGAUGGAGCAUGACUGAUUUCGUGUACAGCUGUGCACAGCGCCAGGGGAGAGAGAGGCCAAUACAUCUUAUAUAAAGUACAAUUGUAUGUACAGUGGCUUCCCGCCAUUUGCGGGUUAAGGACCAGGUCAGUCUGCGAAUAUUAAAAAUUUGCAUCUAACUUCUGUCCAUUAUCUGUUAAUUGAAAUCCAUUCAUUUAUUUCAUUCUCUAUUGGAUCCGCUUUGUUGAAAACCAGGUUCUUAGCAUGGCAAGCUAACAUCCAGCAGUAGUGAACUAGCAGUAUCGUAAACUAAACUGCUUAAAGUAAAAAAUAAAAAAACAUGAGUAAUUGAUGCAUAUUUAAAACAUACAUUUAAAAUUCCUUUUACAUUACUGUCAUUUAAAAAAAAUGGCCUAAAAGAUUCUUCGAUUCCAAAAAUUAAGUAUGCAAUUCCCCGGCUAUUUCCUGCUUGUUUGGAUAUUUAUUACAAAGGUGGUUAUAAGUCAUCGGGGGGGGAUCCGACUAAUAUUUCAUUGGCGUGACUGAUGUCAGGAUGGACAGAGCGUGCCGAUGAUAACAGACGGAGAGAGAGAAUAGAGAGGGGAGGAAGAGGAGGAGGGGGGGGGUACCUUCUUGCAGCCUGGCUGGAGGGUGGAGACUGUGGGAGCGGCAGGCAAGGAGAGGGAGGCAGGGAGGAUCUCAGCCAGGGAGAGAGAAGAGGAAGAGCAGGACAGCGUGGAUGUCAGCCGACUGGAUGUGUUUUGACUCUGCGUCGGGUAAACGCAUUCAACAAGGACAAGAUCUCGAGGAGUCAACAGAUACAAAUCUUGGAUGUUGCUUCGAGUUUCUGGGACUGUUUCAAGUGGUGUUGUGAAGAGUGGGCCGAGCUCAACUCGCUGACUUGAGCUGCAGACACUGAGGCGGAGUGCGGCGGUGGAAGCAGACCAGACGUGCCCAUGGCGAGCAAUAACACGGCCAGCAUCGCACAAGCCAGGAAGCUGGUAGAGCAGCUCAAGAUGGAGGCCAACAUUGACAGGAUAAAGGUGUCGAAAGCAGCAGCAGACUUGAUGUCCUACUGCGAAGCGCACGCCAAAGAGGACCCGCUGCUCUCGCCAGUUCCCGCCUCAGAGAACCCCUUCCGGGAGAAGAAGUUCUUCUGCGCCAUCUUGUAAAAAAAUACAAAUAAAAUGGUGACGCCACCAACGCCAUGUGCGGCAAAGUUUGGAACGCGGACGUUGGAGCAGGAGGGAAGAUGUAGAAAUCUUUAGGAAUCUCAUCCGUGGAUGGGAAGCAUGUUGAGGGUCGGUGCUUUGAUGAUGAUGAUGAUGCUAAUGGAGUGAUGAUGGACGACCCUUCAGGCUGUGACAUCAUGUACAAAUCUAGUUAACUUUUUGUCGUUUUUCGAGGUGUGUGUGUGCGUGUGUGUGUGUGUAUGUGUGUGUGCUUCACUAGCACACAGUAGGACUGCAAACUAAAUUUCUCUCCCUCCGCUAGAUGCCACCUGACAGUUGAAACUAUGAUUUAAGUGGUUCCUCUUACCUGGAUAUAGCUUUCUAUAACUCUCUGUGGUUUCUUUUUUUAUUUCAUUUUUUUAAAUAUCCAUAAAGUUAGUGACAACUUUUCAGUGGGAUGUUUUGGAACACUCAAUGGUGUGGUUUUCUUCUCGACAUACAGUGCUGAGUAAGUUUAUGGGGAAAAAAACAAAAACAAAUUAUGUCUACGAGACGUUCUGUUUAACGACAAUGUGAUCAAGUCUGUCUCCUUUCCCGUCACUCAAAUCUUCUUUCUACUCUUUGUACAAAAACAAAACGAUACGCGAGUAAAACUGUGAUGUGCUGUAAACUA